UACAGAGGUCUCAAGCGUUGUUCGGAUUCAUUGGGCGUAAAGGGUGCGUAGGCGGCGCGGUAAGUCGGGUGUGAAAUCUCGGAGCUUAACUCCGAAACUGCAUUCGAUACUGCCGUGCUUGAGGACUGGAGAGGAGACUGGAAUUUACGGUGUAGCGGUGAAAUGCGUAGAGAUGGGGGAGAACACUCGUGGCGAAGGCGGCCAGCUAGACCAGUUCUGACACUGAGGCGCGACAGCGUGGGGAGCAAACAGG
rnacentral:rRNA from 1 species